GAUGAACGCUGGCGGCGUGCCUAAUACAUGCAAGUCGAGCGAACGGAUUAUACCGUUGCUUCCCUCACCAUAGCCGGUGAGGUGCGAAUGACAGAGGAACAAGCAGCCUACCAGACUGGUAUCACUGCGUGAAACCUGGGCACAUUCGCUAAAAUCGCUUGAUCUUCAUUGUUCCAAAGUAAUUGACGGUAUGAUGGACAUUAAUAGCUGCAACCGCGCUGUAUUAGCUAGUAGGUAAGGUAACGGCUCACCAAGGCGACGAUGCAUAGCCGACCUGAGAGGGUGAUCGGCCACACUGGAACUGAGACACGGUCCAGACUCCUACGGGAGGCAGCAGUAGGGAAUCUUCCGCAAUGGACGAAAGUCUGACCGAGCAACGCCGCGUGAGUGAUGAAGGUUUUCGGAUCGUAAAACCCUUUUAUUGGGAAGAACGGGAUGGAGAGUUAACAGUGCACAUCGUGACGGUACCUAAUCAGAAAGCGACGGCUAACUACGUG
rnacentral:rRNA from 1 species